rnacentral:rRNA from 1 species
UAGGGAAUCUUCGGCAAUGGACGAAAGUCUGACCGAGCAACGCCGCGUGAGUGAAGAAGGUUUUCGGAUCGUAAAACUCUGUUGGUAGAGAAGAACGUUGGUGAGAGUGGAAAGCUCAUCAAGUGACGGUAACUACCCAGAAAGGGACGGCUAACUACGUGCCAGCAGCCGUGGUAAUACGUAGGUCCCGAGCGUUGUCCGGAUUUAUUGGGCGUAAAGCGAGCGCAGGUGGUUUAUUAAGUCUGGUGUAAAAGGCAGUGGCUCAACCAUUGUAUGCAUUGGAAACUGGUAGACUUGAGUGCAGGAGAGGAGAGUGGAAUUCCAUGUGUAGCGGUGAAAUGCGUAGAUAUAUGGAGGAACACCGGUGGCGAAAGCGGCUCUCUGGCCUGUAACUGACACUGAGGCUCGAAAGCGUGGGGAGCAAACAGGAUUAGAUAGC